UCCUAUUGCCAGUACUUGUUGUCGACUCCAGUGUUCGAAUUUUAGGCUUUUUUUGUGGUGUAAUGAUAAUUUGAGAGGCACUAUCAAAGGGAGGCAUGUGAAGAGGCUUUUAACUUUUAUUAACUACGGUUGUAAGCUGUGAAAAGCACAAAUUUGAAAACAAUGAAUAAACAAUGGAGAAAUGUGCUUCAAUUAUGGUUUAUAAAUGUAUCAGUCAAGUGAUUCAGUAUUAAAGUGACCACCACCACCACCACCACCCACCCACCCACCCACCACCAUGUAGUGGGUGUAUAGGGUUCGGUCCAGCAGUCUGCCCUGGUGCUGUGUGACGUGAAGACAUGCGUGUGCUGCUACUCUCAUCCUGCCGGUACGUUUGCUAUUGUCUCAUUGGUGUGGUGACUGUGACCUGCCCUGACCUGCUUGUGACCUGCCCUGACCUGCCCUGACCUGCCUGUGACCUGCCUUGACUUGCUCUGACACACAUGGUGAACCAAGACCUUCCGAGACCUUCCGAGACCUUCCAAGACCUUCCAAAAUCUGCCGUGACCCACAGAUGAAGAUGUAUAGAUUUAAGAAGUGCGAUGAUGCGACACACAGACAGACAGACAGACAGACAGGUGUGGGAUGAGUGCUGGCAUACUGAAGGUCAAGAGGUCAAGAGUCACGUGUUGAGUCGUAUGGGUCACCAGACAGGUCACCCACCUAACCCCACUCGGCCUGUCAGUUCAGCGGCAACAAUGUCAUGGAAGAAUUUGCCGCAAGCUGUGCCUCUCUGUGCUUGUUAUCCGAACCUUGUGUCUAAUAUUGCCUUAGUGUGUGUGUGUGUGUGUGUGUGUGUGAGAGAGAGAGAGAGAGAGAGAGAGAGAGAGAGAGAGAGAGAGAGAGAGAGAGAGAGAGAGAGAGAGAGAGAGAUUUUGUUACUCGUCAUGUCCCCUGUACCACUUGAAGACCUCCACCAGACCCCCUCUUAGUCACCCUUGUUGUGUCCCCUGUACCACUUGAAGACCUCCACCAGACCCCCUCUUAGUCACCCUUGUUGUGUCCCCUGUACCACUUGAAGACCUCCACCAGACCCCCUCUUAGUCACCCUUGUUGUGUCCCCUGUGCCACUUGAAGACCUCCACCAGACCCCCUCUUAGUCACCCUUGUUGUGUCCCCUGUACCACUUGAAGACCUCCACCUGACCCCCUCUUAGUCACCCUUCUGAGGUACAAUAGUGUCUAGUCAUCCUUCCUAUGUCAUCCUUGUGUAAUCAGGAAUAAUUAUCAGCCUUUGUACUCCUCCUGUCUGUCUGUCUGUCUGUCUGUCUGUCUGUCUGUCUGCCUACCAGUUAAAAUGAUUUAUGUAGUCAGUUAUACUUGUGAAUACUGUGUGUGUGUGUGUGUGUGUGUGUGUGUGUGUGUGUAUAUAUGAAUUAAUGUUUAUUGUGAAGUAUCUGCCUGCCUUCUUGCAAAUUAAUUAUAAAUAUAGUUACUGUUUGUGUGUGUUUGUGUGUUAUAAAGCAAUCUUGUGUAUAUUAUUGGUUGUAUUCCACAUGUAUGGGCUGGCCAGACGUGAUGUACUGUGACAGCCAGAACCUUGACAUAUACUGCUUGAUAAAAUGAAAAUAAGCAAAAAUACACGAAUAAAGUACAAAUUUUGAGCCGAACUAAUGAGGACUCUCUCUCGUCUUUUUCAGAGGUGCGUACAUCUGCGAGUCAGCCCAACCAACCCCUUAUAUCCUACCUUAUUCUGAUAUAUUAGGUUAGAUUCAGUUAGGUUACUUAUAUUGGGGGCCUGUCUUCCUUACUAACCUAACCUAACCUAACCCAUUCCUUCCUUCUCGUCAAGCUGUUGGUGGGAGAAGCCCCAGGACUCUCAAGCGUGGGUUGAGUCACAACUGCGGGUGUGCUAGCUCACCUUGAAGUCCGGCGGGGCUCACGUGUUGCAGUGUUGCAGUGUUGCAGAUCUUCACCAAAACAAGGGGAGUAUUGUUUUUUUGUGUUCUUUUGUAUAUAUAUAUAUAUUUUUGUGGGGGGGAGGGGGUCUGGGGAUAGCUAUCUGCGGUGUGCGUCUGUGCGUGCGUCUGUGUGUGCGUCUGUGCACGUGCGUCUGUGUGCGUGCAUCUGUGUGUAUGUCUUUUUUUUGGUUGUGUGUGUGUGAAUAUUUUUUUUGGUAUAAAUAUAUAGGUGGUAGGCUAUAAUGUUAGGAUAUUUGACACAGAUUAAUAUAGAAGAUGGUUUAGGUUAGUUAAGGGUUAAGUGAGGCAUAGAGAGAGAGAGAGAGAGAGGAAGACAGAUAUUAAUAGGAUUAGUUUAUAUUUUUUUAGGGUUUUAAGUAAGUAUCUAGGUGGCAGGUCAGAAUGAUAUAAUAUUUAACACAGAUUAAUAUAGAAGAUAGUUUUAAGUUAGUAUAUAUCAAAGGGUUAAGUUAGGCAUAGAGAGAGAGAGAAAGGGUUAUUAAUAGGAUGACAGGAGUAUAUAUGAAAGGGUUAAGUGAGGCAUAGAGAGAGAGAGAAAGGGUUAUUAAUAGGAUGACAGGAGUAUAUAUGAAAGGGUUAAGUGAGGCAGAGAGAGAGAGAUAGGGUUAUUAAUAGGAUGACAGGAGUAUAUAUGAAAGGGUUAAGUGAGGCAUAGAGAGAGAGAAAGGGUUAUUUAUAGGAUGACAGGAGUAUAUAUGAAAGGGUUAAGUGAGGCAUAGAAAGGGUUAUUAAUAGGGUUAGGUUGACGGGGUGUAUGAAUGUUUAACUCAGAUUAUAUUGAAUGUUUAUUUCUUUAUAAUCUGGGUUUGUAUGGCAUGUUGAAUAUUAGUAUGUUAUUUU